GGAAUUUUGAUAGAUUUCCACGACUGAAAAUAUGAGAGGUUGAUAGAUGUUUCCUGAUAUUCCUGCUUUUAAAAAAAGAAGCAGAUAGACUAGUAGAAUAAAGGCUGAACAACUAAUCCAGUGUAAAUGAUUCAAAGGAACUGUGAGUUGGGCCAGUCACCUAACCUGGAGGAGGACCGGCUUCUUUAAGCACAUGUGUCUAGACUGUGACAGAAUGUGCUAAGACAUCCCACUCAGUGGAUUCAUUUCUGUGGGCAAAUGUUGUCAUCAAAUCUCUAAGGACUCUUCAGUGCCAAGCAGGACAUUGUAAAUCUUAUGGGCAUUAAUAUGACUUUCUUCCCAACUCCUUUAGAUGACUAUUUGGAAGAAUAACUUGGAAAUUGAAUGAUUGUAUAAGAAAUAUGUCUGUGAAAGAAAUUUGGAUUUGGGGAUCAAAAUGCUGAAUGGAAAUCAAAAUGUGCCAAGCACAGGACCUGCAUGGAAUACCUACUUAAUAAAAUGUUGAACAUUGGAAUGAAUGCACUUCCAAAGGCUCUCAGAAUGACAAUGCUUCACAACUUUGGCCUAUGAAAGAGUCACCUGUGAGUCUAGAAAAAUGAAGACACCAUGACUAUACACGAAUCUUCACAGGCCCCACAGUGGGCUUCAGGCUAGAUAGUGGGUACUUUGUCAAGCAGUGGGAUCUAAGUUGUCCAUUGCCACAAAGGCAGAGAAAUCAACCCCAGAAUCUCUCAGGAUUCAAUAAUGAUCACUCAGAACCUCAAGGAGCAAGGUGACGUUGAAGAGGUAUUUAAAAGGAGCUCUGUUUUCAAGUUGCUUAAUAUCUAGCUGAGAGCUUGCUGAGAACCUUGCUGGAUUUUUGUCUGAGCUCAAGUCAUGCCUGCUUCUGUCUGAUGAUUUACUAAAUUGUUCACAUGACUUGGAAGACAGAGAUGGCUGAAAGCACAUUAUAGCCCAAUGAAAGCACUGAUGGAAUUACUCCUGACCACAGUCUCUGGCACAUAAACAGUGUUCCAUGGAUGUAUACUGAAGAUGAAGAAAGAAAGAAAUGACAAGGGGAAGAUUAUGAGAUUUUGAAUAAAAAGGAGCAGGACUGAAAUCUAAUUUCUCCCAGUGAUAAAGUGAUGAGACUUAGAGUCUCAGUGUCAUCUUCUGAAAAGGGAGAAUACUUACCUAAAAUAUUUAUUAUGACAAUUAAAUGAGAUUGUAAAUGUGAAAUGUAAAAUGCAAACUGUAAGAUGCCAUGCAAAUAUUACCACUAUGAUUAUUACUAUUGUAACAAAAAGGUAGAAGCUUAUAAAUUCAGUCUACUCUACCAGUAUUACUAAUUGAAAAGAGACAAUCAGGUAAUUUCUGCUAUUUUUAGCCUAUCAGGUGGGUAUUUAGGCAAGGAAUUGAUGAAAUCCCAUUGACUGCACAUAGACAUGAUUCCCUGCCUUUCUUUCAUACAAGUUGGCAGAUACAUUUUCAUCAAAAGUGGUAGUGGUGAUUCUUAGGGAAAAGAGUGAUUCUUAGGCUCUUAAAAUAUUAAGCAGCUGUAGAAACAUGUUUGAAGCAAGGGUGAGAGAACCUGCUUCUCUAAUCUCAACUCUACCACCAGCUGUGAGAAUGUAAGCAAGUCUCUUAACACAUUGACCUCAGUUUCUUCACCUCUAGAAAAACAGAUUUAGAAAACAUCUCUGGGGUCUUCCCAGAUCUGAGAGUCUAAUUCUGGUAACUAUAUGAAAUCUCAACACUAGGAAAACUGUUAAAACCACCCCAAUGAAAGUUAGUAAAAUAUAAAUUGCAAAAUGGUAGUAUCGCUCGAAGAUAUAUUAAGGCUGAAAAGGCUACGUUUAAAAAGUAAUUAGUUGGAAAAAGGCACCAUGUGUCAAAACUAAGACUCACUAUAUCCAGAGAGUUAUUAAAACAAUGAAAAAUCACCCUCAGCAUAAAAUAGUUUACCUUCAAUAUCAUAAGGGGCUGAACAGAGAAAAAUAAAGCUAAUUAAAUUCUUAUUAAAUUCUUGUUUUCAAAACAAACUCAACAUCACAGUGAGCAACAUGUUGAAUACUACACAGAUAUUAGAUUCAAUCAAGUAUAGCCACUUACUAUGGGUAGUUGGGUAGUGGAGAUUACUGGAGCUGUCCUUGCCCUUGGAAUCCUGCAUGACAUCAUGACAUCUCAAAUGACACGGGGCCCUGGAAGCCAUAGGCAUCUGGGAAGCCAGGCAUUGCCUGACUAAAAGUCCUGGGGCUGAGCACCUCGGACAGAAACUGCCCGGUUUAGCAAAAGCCUAAAUACAAACUCCUGCUGGUCAGAGGGAAAGGGUAUCAGACUCACCUGGCCCCAACACAACAUCUCUUCUCCCUCCUGGAUGAUCAGAACUGGACAUGCUGGCAGCUCCGCGGAUCUGUCAGGUUUGAAACUCACAGCUGCUUAUUUCCUGGCAGUUGAUAAAAGCCUGGAGCAAAUAAGGCUGAGAAGAGCUCAGGCAAUGUGUGAGAACACUUGAUCUAAGCCCUCUGACAGCCUGGAGAAAUGGUGAGAAUGCUCACACAGCUUGUUAGCAUGAAGGCACAGCCCUGCCAUUUUACAUCUAGGUUUAUAAAGUGGUUACCUAUGAGUAGGAAGUAGGAAAACAAAGUGAGGCAAGCUGACUGUCAGCCUCCUUUUUUGUUGCUAUAACUGAAUAACACAGGCUAGGUAAUUUAUAAAGAAUAAAGGGCUAUUCGGCUAUGGAUCUGGAAGCCCAAGGUCAAGAGGCCACAUCUGGUGAGGGCCUUCUUGCUGGUGGGCACCCUGCAGAGUCCUGAGGUAGCAAAGCAC
rnacentral:lncRNA from 1 species